rnacentral:lncRNA from 1 species
GAAAUAAUGUGUUCGCUACGAAGCUUACCCAGCUCGCCCUGUUUGUCUGGUCCUCUCUCCUUCUCUGUGUGUCUUACCCACGUUGAACCCUGAACCCCGUAGCCCAUGGCAACAGGAUGCUUCUUAAAGCCCCCUCCACAGGGACCAUGUCAUCAGACGACCUGGAUGAGAGGGACAUGGGCACCGUCCUGGAAGGAGAUUGUGUGGACUCCACUCCAGAGGGGAACGGCACGGUGGGGAAGGUACGGACUACGUCCCGAGCCGCGCUGACGCACCGAUUCCGGAAGAUGAAGAGCAAGAUGGUGAAGUGCAAACAGUGUGACACCUACAUCGUGGUCAACGGCAUCGAGUGUGAGGAGGUGGGAAAGAGGAGGAAAUUAAGGAGAGACUUUCAUGUGGCAGCCUCUUAACUGACAAAAGUAGAACGUUGUCGCCUGAUUCACAGUCACACUAAAGGGUGGAACCGAGCUGUACUGAGCUGGUUUGGUUCUCUGUCCUCCACAGUGGCGCCAGCACAGUAUGGCUCAGGUUGAGUCUAUAGUGUGAGCCAGGUAUAUAGGGUGUGAUUUGAGGUCACCCUGUGCUUUGCUAAUCCAUGUCCUCUGUCCCUCCUGCCGUCAAUCUGUAGUGUGGCGUGGCGGUCCACAGGAAGUGUCUGGAGGUGUUACAGCAUGAGUGUGAGAACAGGAAGGGCGUUCUGUUUGGCGUGGGUUUCUCCCUGUUGCCCCGGGACCGGCCUGACGAGGUGCCCUAUGUGGUCCAGCGCUGCACGGCCGAGAUAGAGAGCAGGGCCCUCACUCUACAGGUACAGUAUAAACCUGGAUGUCAUAUGCCUUAGAAUAAGUACUGAAGCAAACAGGAAAACUGUUUUGCAGAAGCGACAGUACAGUGCCCUUCUCUCAAUCCCUCUUGCUUUCUCUUGGCCUCCUUUCCCCCUACAUCCAUCCAUCCCUCCCUCCCACCCAGGGGGUGUAUCGUAUCAGUGGGUCGAAGCCUCGUAUCCAGAAGCUGUGUCAGGUCUUCGAGACCCAGGGGGACCAAGUCGACCUCUCUGACCUUUCACCUCAUGACGUCACCUCGGUCCUCAAACACUUCUUCAAGGAGGUACAACUCCACUGUUUCCCAGACAACAAAGAAAAUGGAUAUUACAGACAGUAUAAUGUAGAGCCAACGAUACAGUUAAUACAGACAAUAUGCUGUAGAGCCAACAACAGUUAAUACAGACGAUAUAAUGUAGAGCCAACGACAGUUAAUAGAGACAAUAUACUGUAGAGCCAACGAUACAGUUAAUACAGACAAUAUACUGUAGAGCCAAUGACACAGUUAAUACUGACAAUAUACUGUAGAGCCAAUGACAGUUAAUACAGACAAUAUACUGUAGAGCCAACGACACAGUUAAUACAGACAAUAUAAUGUAGAGCCAACGACAAUUAAUAGAGACAGUAUAAUGUAGAGCCAACGACAGUUAAUAGAGCAAUAUACUGUAGAGCCAACGAUACAGGUAAUACAGACAAUAUACUGUAGAGCCAACAAUACAGUUAAUACAGACAAUAUACUGUAGAGCCAACGAUACAGUUAAUCAGACAAUAUAAUAUAAGCCAACGACA